GACAGGCCUGUGUGGCCGGUGGCGGGCGGGCCGUUACCUCCCGCGCAUGCUCUAUGGGGUAGAGACGCUAGGCCGGCACUGCCUAGGUGGGCCGGGCGGUGCGAGGGUCGCCUUUCAGCCUUUACCUCUACCCACUGAAAUGGAGUAGGUCGGUGAGCGCCGAUCUGCUGGAGAAUCUCAUUAUCCCAUCGGCGCUCUGCCUGCUCCUGGCCUCCAAGCCUCUGAAGCCCCUCGGGUUUCAGCUGCCGGCUACCCUCGAGCCCGUGGUGCCCACGAGAGAGGCGACUUUACGUCAGCGGCCCUGGGCUGAGAUUUGAGAACGCGACCAAGUGGAGAAUGUUGGAGCCAGAUUUUAAAAUCCUUGUCUUCCUUCUGCGUGCUACUUGAUCUAAAUGAGAUACGGCAAAGUCACAGAACCUGUUUUUAUGUUUUUGCCUGAUUCAUACGGGCUUCUCCGGUGAAGAUGGGCCUGAAGUAACGCUUGGGUUGCUUCUGACGUUAUAACUCAUCCUGUAGCUGCAGCAACCGUGGUCCUUGCAACCUCAUAAAAAUGUUGCCAGCAUUGUUUCGAUAGUGCUGCUUAAUUCUUGGAAGGUUCUUCGGACUUCACACAUUCCAGCAGUAGCUCUCUCAGCUCCUGUCCUGCACAGCUUUGAAGUGCUGGUGAUGUCAUUGAACUCUUAAGUGCAAGAUGAAACAAGUCUUUCUGGGGUUCUAAGUAGGACACAGCCCUGGUGAUGGCUUUCUGAGGAUGACACGAUGGAGGCUUCUCCAAUAGCUCUAAAACUGCGGUGUGGAAAACAUUCGGCAGCCUCAAAGAGCGGUCUUGUUGACCCCAACUAUAUCAUUUUUCAUCAAAAUCAUUCUUGUAAAGAAUGACCAGGCAACACUCUUUGAAAAUUGGAGGCCAUUUGCAGCUGCUCUCUGUUGAGGAAAGUGAAUAAUAGGGUGCCCUCAAGGAAUUGCAAAGGUAUCACUCAACAGAAACUUUCGUGUCUGAAGAAAACUAGAUCAUUUUAUCAUGGUAGGCAUGCUGAUAUGUUUGCUUUAAUAAAAUGCCAUAUUUCUGCCUUUAAUCUCUUGUCAACCCGCUAUUAAAAAGCCCCAAAGUGCAUGUGUGCAGCGCAUGUAAACACUUGUGGUUUUGAGGUUACCACAGAACAUACUAAUAAAGCAUGUAAUUUGUGUUUUGUGCACAGACUGUAAUAAUUUAUUGAGUGGUACAGAGAAGCUAGAAAAGGAUUUUCUCUAACUUUUGCCAGCAAGUCAAUUUAUUUUUAGUGCUCUAUGCAGAAGUACAUGUAUACACAUGUUCUUAUGAUUACAUCAUGUUUAAAAAGCAUUAGGGAGCCUGCAUAACAAAAUGGGACAAAACAUAAAUUCAUUUUGCACAUACGGAAGACAUUCUAUCAAGCAUGCUAAUGUUCCUCCUAUAAGCUGAUCAGCUGGGAGGUGUGGCAUAUAUUCUUCCACAAAGGGUGUGUGUUUGUGUGUGUGUGUGUGUGCAUGUUUGUGUGCGUGUUGAGCACUGACAAUACAUUAGCAGAGUAUAGAUCAAGUAAGUUCAAGUAAAUUAAGACGAAUAAUAAUAGCAAGAACUUUUAUAAACUUUACCAACUUUAUCCCCAGUCCCCCUGGGGGAGGAGGGCAGAGAACAAUGUUGUUCCUUCUUUUAUAUGGAAUAACAAAACGUAUAAUGGUUGGGUCACUUCUAGAGGGUCCUAGAAGAGCUCAUUGCCAGACUACAGCUUCCACCAUGAUUGUUUGGGUAGCCAAUUUAUCUGUUUAUGUAAGAUCCUUACAGGUAAGAACCAUCAGGUUGUAUACCACUUAGCUUUUUGCUUUCACUUCUUCCCUUGUGAGGUUCCUUGCACACAACAAAUCAUCCACACAGAUGCAUAAUUUGAAAGGAAAGGUCUUGAGCUUAUGGAAGAAAUACAUACCAGUUUCUGGAAAAUUCUGUGAAAUUCUGUAGUUGGAAAAUAAUUCUGUGAAAUUCUAUGCUUUAUUUACUCAAACAAAAAACACAUUCAGUUUAGAAAUAACGUCUGUGCCCAGAAGAAAUAGGUGUUAGAUACUCAAAACGUGUUUAUUCCAAAAAGAUGCAAGAUUUCUCUCCUGGAAAGCAAUUCACCACUCUCUAUGCUUCUUUUUCUUUCUGAGAAGUCUUAUACACAUAACAGUUUUCAAUGCACAGAUGGAUCUUCUGUGGUUCACAACCUUUUACAUUUGAGGGCUAAUUAAAAUGAAUCCUUUGUGCCACCUCUAAGAUACAACUCACUCCUUCAUGUUGUUCAUUGACUAAGAUCUAAUAAACCAGUUCCAAUUCAUAACUAGGGAUUAUUGAACUUCUUGUGGCCAUUGGCUAUCAUAGAGGCAUUGUGAAAAUCUCUAAGGAGACAAGUGCACAGCAGCCUGGCCCGGAGGGUCCUCUUAUUUGAAGUAGAACUCAAGUUGCACCCAAUUAUGUAAGGCUGAUCCAACCCAGAAAAGAGUUUUCUGCAAGAGAUUAAGCCAAUUCUCCAGAACUCUAAGGAGGAAAUCAAGAUCCUUGUGGCUGUUUGAUCACUUCUGUGAUUUGAAUGUCUCCACGGUUUAAUCAUUUGCUUACAUAAUGAGGACAUUACAGAGAGAA
ensembl:lncRNA HULC hepatocellular carcinoma up-regulated long non-coding RNA